GACGAACGCUGGCGGCGUGCUUAACACAUGCAAGUCGAGCGGUAAGGCCCUUUCGGGGGUACACGAGCGGCGAACGGGUGAGUAACACGUGGGUGACCUGCCCUUAGCUCUGGGAUAAGCCUGGGAAACUGGGUCUAAUACCGGAUAUGACUCCAUGACGCAUGUUGUGGGGUGGAAAGCCUUGUGCGGCUAGGGAUGGGCCCGCGGCCUAUCAGCUUGUUGGUGGGGUGAUGGCCUACCAAGGCGACGACGGGUAGCCGGCCUGAGAGGGCGACCGGCCACACUGGGACUGAGACACGGCCCAGACUCCUACGGGAGGCAGCAGUGGGGAAUCUUGCGCAAUGGGCGAAAGCCUGACGCAGCGACGCCGCGUGAGGGAUGACGGCCUCGGU
rnacentral:rRNA from 1 species